AAUUUUAGUAUUAUAACACUAAUAUUCUUUGGUAAGCUAUUAAUAAUUUGACUGCUUUCUGUUUAAAAUACAGCUCUUUAAAACAAGAUAUAUAAGGAAAUGAAUGUGGUUUCCAUCAUCCUUUGGGCAAACAGACCACAGACAUUUUCCAAACCAUGUACAGUGCAGGGACAUCUGGUGGCUGAAUAUCCUAUAUCUAGGUAAAUAACCCAAUGGAUAAUGUACCUGUCCAACAACUGGAUAACAGCUAAGCAACUUCCUGUCCAGCAGAUGACUGGGACUUAGUUAUCCAGUGUAACAUCUGGUGUGAAUUUUAGAAGAGAGCUCCAUCUCACAUGCUUAGGCUCAGCUAUGUGGGUAGCAAGCUCCACAGUGUGCACUGGGAUCUUGCUAAAGGUUUUGGAGACAGAGUAAGUUGAUAGAGAAGUCUUACUAUCUCUCUGGGUCCAUUGUAACACAAACAGAAACACACGGCCUGGGAAUGGCUUCCCCUGGAAUAUGGUGAUCAGGAUAUCAAAUUGCAGCUGCUAAAAGCAUUCUUGCCUCAAAGAGAACAUUAGCUGCAGGUGUUGCCCAUAUCCCAGGAUUGUAAUGUUCGUGGUGCAGGUGUGAGUGAAGUGUAGCCUUUCUGUUCCAGUGCAGUAGAGUUUUUGUGAUGUUUCUCUGCUUCCCUCGUGGUAUUUCCAUUAUGGAUGGGUAGCUAUGAUUGCUUGGUUUCAAUCUCUGAAGUUUAAGUACUGAAAUUUCUUGUUCCUUUGGGAUAUGCAUUGUAGAACUAGUAAGAAACCUAAGAUUUCAUCUUGGAACGUGAGGAGUAUUGUACCUGGACUCUAUGUUGACUUUGUGCAUCGCGUUCACAGCAAGACUCUGCUUGAAAAUCGUUAAAGACUCAAUGAGUCUUACAGCACUGCUCCUCAUGCCCUUGCAGCUGUUCCCAGGGAGAGGAAAUGUAGGACAUUUCUAUCAUUUGAAGAGCUUUCCUUCGAAGUGCUAAAAUUUGUUCAAGCAACUACUGCAGGGAAGAAAAAACAAACAAACAAACAAAACCAACUACUACAUCAGUUGUGUUUUUUUAUUACUAUUAUUAUUAUUUAUAAAGUUUAUUUAUUUUUUAUUAAAGUUUAAUUAUUUAUUAAAGUUUAU
rnacentral:lncRNA from 1 species